rnacentral:tRNA from 1 species
UGAUCAGAAGCUAUAUUGAGCGUCUAGCUGUUAACUAGGAGGUUGUAAGUUCAACUUAAUUCUUACCUGAUCAG